UAUAAUCACUAGGGGAGCGAUUUUUAUCGCUGAGAAAGGAAACUUGACUCUUAUAACCUGAUUUAGUUAAGACUAACGUAGGGAAGUGAUGACUUACUUAA
rnacentral:ncRNA from 1 species